GGUCAGCAGGUUGGUCGUGCCACUGGUAUGCACUGGCUUCGCUGAUUCCUCCUUUCUGAAGAACUGUAAUGCCAUUAAUUUGGUGUUGCAGGGAAACAGGACUGUUACUUUGAAAAAAUUAGAGUGUUUAAAGCAGGCUUUGGCUUGAAUACAUUAGCAUGGAAUAAUGAAAUAGGACGUUCGAUCCUAUUUUGUUGGUUUCUAGGAUUGACGUA
rnacentral:rRNA from 1 species